rnacentral:hammerhead_ribozyme from 1 species
GUGUUGAAGAGUCCCAGAAUAGGACGAAACGCCCGUCUAGUAU